AUAGUGGAUCGGCCCAGCAAGAUGAAAAAACCAGCCCAAGAGAACUUUCUCUCUCCAAUCAAAGGUUAAUUCCUUUUUCCUUUGAUUACUUCGGCCCACUAAGCGAAAAGCAGCCCAAUUAAAUGCAACCCUAAUAUUCUUAUGUAUAAAAGAUAAUGAUCUUUUCUAACCCUAACACUCAACCUACGACAGCCAUUAUUCUUUCAAAAGAAUUCAAAUUCUUUCAAACCUUUUUCUCUCUAUCUCUCUAACGGCAGAAGCUAAAGAAAAACCUAGGGUUAGGGUUUGUAUAAUUCUUUCUUCUCUUUUCUUUCUCUUCAACACAAAUGGCAGCUAGGGCUUUCUAGGGUUAGGGAUUAUUUCUCUUCUUCUUCUCUUUGCAGCCGCACUUAGGGUUAGGGUUCUUCAAUAUUAUAUUUUUCUUCAAGCUUCUUCUUUUCUCUACUAAUGGCAGCAACUAAAUGGUUCUAAGGUUGGGGUUCUCCAAAAUGUUUCUUUUCUUCUUUGCGGCCUCUGCCGAACGAAGAGGAAACCAAAAAACCCACAAAGUUUCUACCCGAAACUAUGCCUAGAAAACUCACUCACUCAAAACCGAACCCCAAAAAACCCUCUCACCAUCUCUUUGGCCGAAACACAACAAACCCGAAAAUCAAAGGUCAACUAUUAUUUCUCUAAUGUGUAUUUGGUCAAAGCAGAAGCCUUUGUUUCCUUCAAAGUUUCGGCCCACAAAGUAUUCAGCCCAAGAAAAUCAAACCCUAACAAGCCUUAACCUAAUAUAUAUAUAAGGUGAUGUAUUUUCUAACCCUAGAUGAAACACACGGCAGCCACAAUCAUUUCUUCACCAAAAUUAAACUUUUCAAAUAUCUUUUCCUUCUCUUUCUCUCUAACGGCAGAGACACAAAUUAGGGUUAGGGUUUCUCAUCUUUUCUCUUCUUUUCCUUUAACAGCCACACUUAAGUUCUAGGGUUAGGGUUCUAAGAUUUUCUUUGUUCUCUUCUACUUCUUCUCACUCUAAUGGCAACAAUGAAAUGGUUCUUGAUUUUUUGCUCUUCUCUACUUACCCGAAACUACACCCAAAAAAAACACAAAGCUUCUACCUUUUAUUUUCGGCAGCAGUUAGAAAAAUAGUGUUCUAGGGUUUUCUAGGUUUAUUUUCUUCUCUUCUAAAUGUUCUACCCGAAAAUACAAACCAAGAAAACCUAAGCUCUUUCUACCCGAAAUAAUCAACCCCAAAUACCCACUCACGGCUAAAUCUCACCAAACCCGAAAGUCUCAAGAUCACAAAUACACACAAACACAAAAAUAAACAAUAUAGAGAUUAGGGUUAGAAAUACAAACAGAAAUGGUAAAGAUGGAGACACCAAAUUUGAUCUCGGAGUUCGCCCAAAACAACCAGCUACUUCUCCGUCAAGCCCUCAGCUUGAUUCCACUAAUCAUCAAACAAAGCCGAAAUACAAGGGUUAGGGUUCUAACAAGCUCUCUUAUUUUUCUCUUCAAAUGGCAGAAACGAAAUGCUACAACCCGAGACAAGAACAACCCAAAAAACUCACUCACUAAUGGCUUUACUCACUCAAAACCGAACCCCCAAAAAUCCCCUUUAACUUUCGGCCAAAACACAUCAAACCCGAAAACUCAAGAACAUGAACACAUACACAAAUACAAAUAUUGUCGUUUUUAUAAAUAUGUGCUUAUCGAAAUGUGUCAUUUUUAUAAAUAUUGUCGUUUUAGUUUUCCCGUGUUUAAAUUAAUAUAUAGUUUUGUUAAACAAGUGUCGUUUUUGAAAAUAAUGCUAGUUUAUUUUGUUUUCUUUGAAA